CUUUAUAUUUUAAUCAUGCAUAAAGUAUCAACAAAUAAAUUUUGAAAGUGUAUGAAAUUGUUUUGCAAGUUAUACACUGUUCACACCUAUAGGGUCUACAAUAAUUGUAGACAACGAAAAACAAAGGAGGAUAACAGUGUCUUUUACCAUAUAGCAAGCAAGAAUCAACAAAUAUGUAAUAAUAUAUAGAACUGUUUUAAAAUAUUAUAGGAUUGAAGCACUCACUAUUCAUUCAUGAGUCUUACAAAUUAUUAAGCUUACUCAGAAAAGUUAAAUGUUGAAUAAACUCAGCAUGUGUUUUUAAGAAAACCACCAACCUUCGAUAGGAAUACUGACAAUCUUAGUCAAUUAAGAUUGGAGUCGAGUGCACCCUCACGAGCGGGAUUCGAGCUCACAACCUCAUUUAAUAUGAUAAUCUAAUGUAUUGUCUUUUCAUUCAUUGAAUUAACUUAUAUUGUAGUGUACAUGUAUUUGUGUUUUUACAGGAGUCUGAAGAGCCCCGAGGAUUGCUGGAGGAGUUAGGAUUUAUUACUGGGAGCUAAAUAGGAGAAAGACCUGAAGACAGAAGAUUAGAUAAUAUAAGCAGUGCAGCAUUUACAAUUAUUUGUUAUGUGAAUCUGGCCUUUUUACUUAACAUAUCAAAACUUAUUUUUGAUAAAUCAGUAUUUUUUAUGUCUGUCUUUUGACAACUUUGAUUUUAGCAUUUGAUGUAGGGUUCGUUUACAAUUUUUAACAAUGAUUACAUUUUCAAUGUAUAUAUAUUUGAAAUAGUGGCAGAUUCAAAGGAUAGAUACGCUAGCAAAAGCAUGAAGUUUGUAAGUUGUACAAACAAUACUGUUGCAUUUAGAGGGUUGUAUUGAGUUUUUGAAAAAAGAUAACAUAUUUGAUUCAAAAUCCAAUCAAAGAUGUUUCAAGAAUGUAGUUAAAUUCCUCAUGAUUUCAGUUUUAUCAAAAUAAUCUUGAUAAUAAAUUUACAUAUGAUUGAUAAAUUUGCAUAUGAUUGAAUAAAAUUUCCCAUGAAUGUAAGAAGGUGCAAUAAGGGCAUUAAUUAUCAAAUUUGUAAGCAGUUUGCAUUUUAAAAGCAACUUUAUCAUAGAGUGCCUGAAUAAGCAUAUACCAUACUUUUGUAAUUGGUUACCAAAACCAUGAAUGUCCCUUUGGUACCUUUUGCCUCUCCUCAAAAACUCAAAAACUCAAAAAAAAAAAACGUCAUUAAGCAAUUUCCAAUCAAUACCAGUACCGGUAGUUUAAAGCAUGACAUUCACUUUUAAAAAGUAACAACUUGUCUCCCUUAGUCAUGAGUCUUGUGAUGUCACAAUAAGUGAAUAAUGAUGUGACAGAAUCCCCAUUUUUAUGAAAUGUCGGAGAUUUUAUUCUUUUUUCUGAAAUGUAUCUAGGUAAAUAUCAAGUGCAGGCAGAAUCUUCUCGGACAACAAAAAAAAGUGCACUCAAUGGUAACAACUGACCAAUUUUCGUCUAAAAUAAACUAAUUAACAAUUUAAUUGAUAAUAAUUAGUUCAUAUUUGUGGUCUCUUAUUCUUAACAUUCAUGAUAGUUUUAAAAUUCAACAACUUCAGAAUUUUGAAGUGCCAACUAAGAGGGGACUCCGGGAUCAGGUGUUUUUAAGCUCGGGAUUUUAGGAUCUGGGAAUUCUUUUUUUCUAAUUUCAGGAUGUCAGGAUUUAGAUUUCUUUAAAUUCCAUACCUUGGGAUUUCAGGUUUUUAAGCCCAGGAUAUUGGGAUCAGGAACCCUCCAACCCCCCUCAAAUAAUGCCCUUAAUGCACCUGAUCCCUUACUGUGAUUUUUAGUGCAAGGUAUUUAAUUGUGAUUGUUGAAUGAUUAAAAGGUUGUGUUUUAAAGAUUGUAUGAAUAUUCCAAUCAAAUAAUUGUAAUUCUAGUCAAUGUUGAUUUUUAUUACAAUGAUAUAGACAAUAAGAUUAUAUAUUUCUAUAACUACAAUAAAC
rnacentral:lncRNA from 1 species